AAACAAAAGGGCCUCUCUGGCCCGCCUUGCUCAGGUGACUGAAUGAGAAGUUCAGGCCGCCCUCCCAGCACAGAAGCUUUGAGCAACCAGCAAGAACUGGCAGAAACAUCUGUCUCAAAGCUCCUGAAAACAGACCUGCUGUAAAAGAAAUGCCAAAGGAAAUUCUGACAGCAGGAAAAUGACAGCAGAAGAAAAGUUGGAAUGUCAGGAAAGAAGGAAGACUAACAGAAAUGGUUAAGUUGCCAUUGGACACUGUGAAACCUUGGAAAGCCGUAAAUACAGAAGAGACAUUUGUUUGUCCUAAAUGGACUAGGUGUUAGCUCUGAUUAAAAUUUCAUAAGUACUUGGGUUUAAAUGCU